rnacentral:tRNA from 6 species
GCCGAUAUGGCUCAGUUGGUAGAGCAACGCAUUCGUAAUGCGUGGGUCCCCGGUUCGAGUCCGGGUAUCGGCUCAA